CGGUAAUUCCAGCUCCGAUAGCGUAUAUUAAAGUUGUUGCAGUUAAAAAGCUCGUAGUUGAACUUCUACGCUGAUGACCCUGAUUUAUCGGUGGACCGUCGGCGUAUCCCCAAUUGAAUUAUAGGCAUGUCUUUAAUCUAGUCAGUCUCAUAAUCAAGGAAUUUACUUUGAAAAAAUUAGAGUGUUUCAAGCAGGCGUUUAGCUGGAAUACAUUAGCAUGGAAUAAUAGAAUAUGACCUUCGUAUCAUUUUAUUGGUAGGUGAUUGGAGGUAAUGAUUAACAGGGACAGUUGGGGGCAUUAGUAUUGCUUUGUCAGAGGUGAAAUUCAUUGAUUAUGGCAAGACUAACUUAUGCGAAAGCAUUUGCCAAGGAUGUUUUCAUUAAUCAA
rnacentral:rRNA from 1 species